AAGCUCGUAGUUGAAUUUCGGGAUCAGUAUGUUGGUCGUGCUUCGGUACGUACUGUCAUUACUGGUUUCUCCUUUCUGAAGAACCUUGAUGUCAUUAAUUUGGUGUCUUGGGGAAUCAGGACUGUUACUUUGAAAAAAUUAGAGUGUUUAAAGCAGGCAUACGCUUGAAUACAUUAGCAUGGAAUAAUGAAAUAGGACGUUUGAUUCUAUUUUGUUGGUUUCUAGGAUCGACGUAAUGAUUAAUAGGGAUAGUUGGG
rnacentral:rRNA from 1 species